rnacentral:rRNA from 1 species
GACGUAGGGCGCGAGCGUUGUCCGGAUUUAUUGGGCGUAAAGAGCUCGUAGGCGGCUUGUCGCGUCGACCGUGAAAACUCGCAGCUCAACUGCGAGCCUGCGGUCGAUACGGGCAGGCUAGAGUUCGGUAGGGGAGACUGGAAUUCCUGGUGUAGCGGUGAAAUGUGCAGAUAUCAGGAGGAACACCGGUGGCGAAGGCGGGUCUCUGGGCCGAUACUGACGCUGAGGAGCGAAAGCGUGGGGAGCGAACAGG